UACGUAUGGUGCAAGCGUUAUCCGGAUUUACUGGGUGUAAAGGGAGCGCAGGCGGUGCGGCAAGUCUGAUGUGAAAGCCCGGGGCUCAACCCCGGUAUUGCAUUGGAAACUGUCGUACUAGAGUGUCGGAGGGGUAAGUGGAAUUCCUAGUGUAGCGGUGAAAUGCGUAGAUAUUAGGAGGAACACCAGUGGCGAAGGCGGCUUACUGGACGAUAACUGACGCUGAGGCUCGAAAGCGUGGGGAGCAAACAGG
rnacentral:rRNA from 1 species